CCUACGGGGCGCAGCAGUGAGGAAUAUUGGUCAAUGGACGGAAAUCUGAACCAGCCAUGCCGCGUGCAGGAAGACGGCUCUAUGAGUUGUAAACUGCUUUUGUACAAGGGUAAACCUGAAUACGUGUAUUCAGCUGAAUGUACUGUACGAAUAAGGAUCGGCUAACUCCGUGCCAGCAGCCGCGGUAAUGCGGAGGAUCCAAGCGUUAUCCGGAUUUAUUGGGUUUAAAGGGUGCGUAGGCGGAUUGAUAAGUCAGAGGUGAAAUGGCCGAGCUUAACUCGGGAACUGCCUCUAAUACUGUUGAUCUAGAGAGUAGAUGCGGGAGGCGGAAUGUAAGGUGUAGCGGUGAAAUGCUUAGAGAUCAGACAGAACACCAGUGGCGAAGGCAGCUUACCAAUCUAUAUCUGACGUUGAGGCACGAAAGCGUGGGGAGCAAACAGGAUUAGAUACCCUUGUAGUC
rnacentral:rRNA from 1 species